GUGAUCAUUUUAGCAGCGUUUACACUAAAACUGGAACCAUACAGAGAAGGCGCGCAUGGCCCUGACACCAGGAUGACACCAAUUUGAGAUGCAUUUUAUAUGUUU
ensembl:snRNA U6 U6 spliceosomal RNA